rnacentral:rRNA from 1 species
CUACGGGACGCAGCAGUGGGGAAUAUUGGACAAUGGGCGCAAGCCUGAUCCAGCAGUGCCGCGUGAGUGAAGACGGCCUUAGGGUUGUAAAACUCUUUCGCUAGGGAAGAUAAUGACUGUACCUAGUAAAGAAGUCCCGGCUAACUCCGUGCCAGCAGCCGCGGUAAUACGGAGGGGACUAGCGUUGUUCGGAAUUACUGGGCGCAAAGAGUUCGUAGGCGGACUGACAAGUUAGAGGUGAAAUCCCAGGGCUCAACCCUGGAACUGCCUUUAAAACUGUCAGUCUAGAGACCGGAAGAGGUUAGGGGAAUACCUAGUGUAGAGGUGAAAUUCGUAGAUAUUAGGUGGAACACCAGUGGCGAAGGCGCCUAACUGGUCCGGUACUGACGCUGAGGAACGAAAGCGUGGGGAGCAAACAGGAUUAGAUACCCCGGUAGUC